GUUCCUUGCUUAAUUGUUGUAAAUGGUCCUCCAUUUGUCUGAUCUGUAAAUCACGAGAACGAACCUCGGCCACGAGAUUGUUUACUGUUGCAGUAACACAAUCUUUGUCUGUCAUAAGCAUAUCAUAUUUCAAUUUCAUUUUGUCAAGGUUCUUAUUCAAAGCGUCUAUGUGUAUACCUUUCUCAUUAAGUUCUGUCUUCAAUUGAUUGAUCUGACCUUAUAAGUUUGUUUCUUGUACAACAAGCAAGCUUUCGAUUUCCCAUUUUUUGGUCUCACGUUGCCUUAUUUUUUCCUCCAAUACACUUCCAAGCAGGGAAAGAGCUAUCGAGGGCGGAACUUGAAGGUGUUCUGGUUUUUGUUGAACCUUUUUUGUUUCAUGCCAAUGGGACCUUAUCCAAUUGGCAAUGGUGGGAAAACAAAGUUUGCCAUUUUGAUCCAUUUGUAAAGGCAAGUCACUUGGCAGUGGGGGUUUCGCAGUUGAGUGGCAAGGGCUACAGAACUUUUAUUUAUAGUUGAGCUCCGUAGAUUCAACAAUACAACAAUAUUAAAUUUUAUAUUUAUGGAACUUUAAAAUCAUGUAGUAGUUUAUUUAUGUUGAAAAUUUGAGAGUUAAUGAUAUUUGUGAAAAUUGUCAUUGUUGAGAAAUUUAGAUUCUUGGUGUUAUUUUGUUGGGUUGAAGUUAUUGAUGUUAGAUGUAUGUAUGUGUGUGUUGUAUGGUAGAUAUUGUAUAUGGUUGAUAUUUUAAGUUCUAUGGAAUCUGGCUCUUUUUGAAGUAAAUGAUUGAGGUCAAUUUGUUGAGUUGAAAUAUGUAGGAUAUGGCAUUUGAAUUUUAUGAUUCCUAUUUGUGGAGCAAGAUAAAUGUAUGAUUUGGUUAAGGUUGCUUGCCUUUGUAUGUGAUGUUUGAAAUGUGGUGCUAAUGAGGGCUAUGUUGGUUAGGUUCUUAUAUUGUAUGAAAUUGAAAUGUUUUGACUUGUUUUGAGGUGUAUUUGAUGACAUUUUUAGAGUGGUUAUAGGCUUGGUUUGGUAGCCAAGAUAGGUUUGAAAUUUGCCUUGUUUUGGAAGCAAAAAUUGGUGCACAUGGUCAGGGAUACAGGCUAUACAUGGUCUACCCUCGGUCCCAUACGGCCGUGUGUCCUAAUGAUUUUAGGUGCAGGGCACACACGGUCUAAGACACAACCAGCGACAUGGUCGUGUGACCCAAAAACAAAUACACACACGGGCAGUCACACGGCCAUGUGACCUUAAUUUGAAUAUACACAUGGGUGGGCAGACAGUCGUGUAUCUCGACUUUGAAUGUCCACACAGUCUAGGCUAUUACACACGGCCAUGUGUCCCUUGUUUUAAAAAUUUUCAUCUUUUUUCCUAACUUUUCCGUUUUGUUCCAAAUUGACCCUAGAAUGUUUCUAAUUUACUUUUAGGGCUCCGUAAACUCAGUUUAAGGCCUGUAAAUGUAUGUUUAUUGUGAAUUGAUUGUGAUUUGAUUAAUUGUAAUUAUAUUGAAUAAUUGUUUUUAAGUAGUGUUAAAUGUUUGAAAUGUUAUAGUAAUACUCCAUGACUUUAAUUCAGCGACAGACACUGGUUCAGGGCGUUAAGUUUAAAUUAUCUUUUAUAAAUUUUAUAUAAAUGCAUGAAAAAUACAAAAAGAAACACUCUAUAAUAAUAUUUAUUAAUCAUUAAAACUUAGUUUUUUAAUAUACUUUUCUUGAUCGAGUUAGUGUCGAGCUAACUCAUGAUACUGUCUAAAUUCAUGACGCCAAUUCAAUCAUACACUUAAAUAAUAGUAAAAAUGUUAUUAUUUAUGAAAAGAUCAAAAUAUCAAUGUUGAAUCCCAAAAUGAAAUCAGCAAUUAAGAUUUGAAAUAUAAGUAGAGAUGGUAAUGGAGUGGGGCAGAAUGGUUUUUUGUCCACCUGAACCGAUAUACCUCUAACAUAAUCCGACUUUGAUCCAACUCAAAAUUAAAUAUUAAUUUACUUAUCUUGAACCUUACUCGAAAAAUUAAAGUUAUACCCUAUUUCGAUCAAUAUACCAAUACUUUUAAUUGUUUUUAUAUGUUUUUAUUAAAAUAGAAUAAUAGUUUUAAAGUUUUUAACGACAACAUUACUUUUUUUUUGUAGUUAUAGUUAUGGUAGGGAAAAUAUUUUUAUAAUUAUCAUAUAUUAUAAUCUAAUAUUAUAUAUAAAUGUUUAUUUUGGUAAUUACGGGGCAAAUUUUUCUAAAUCGGAGAAAGAAUUAUAUGAAAUUGUGAUUCCACGUUAUCUGUAUCAUUUUCUAAUACGAAAAUGACAAAUCAGAAUUUAAGAUUUAAUCCAUGUACUUUAAAAGUUAAAAUUUCAAUUAUCCUACUUCUACGAUUUAAAAAUUCUAGUCCAAUUAUUAUUAUUUGUAAUUUUUUUGUCAAAAAAAUCAACUUAACAUCAUAUGAAAUGUUAUAUGAUGGCAGUCUAAUCAGCAUGCCAAAUUGGAAGAUUUUGAUGGAAAUUAUUAACAAUGUUAAAGAUUAGAAUGAAAAUUUUAAAUCAGAAAAGUAAUAUGACUAAAUUUUAAAUUUUAUCUAAGCCAAAGGGACUAGCAACAUAUUUUCACAAAAGAAAUUGAUAGACUAAUUAAUUUAGGUUUUAGACUAAGCAAAAUUGUCAUUUCCAACUAUAUUCAACUUGUAUAAAUACGGAAGCUAAUAACUUUUCAUGGAAUCUAAGGACAAAAAAUAAUUAACAUACUGCAUGUAAGAAAAAGAAGAAAUAAGCAAAUCAUAUAAAUUUUAUUAUCAUAUAUUUACAGUUCAAACCUCACAAUUUUCAGCCUUAAAACAUUACAUUGAUUAAACAUACAAUUAAAAAGUAUCAAGCUUUAAGAACAACCACACUUUUUUUUUUGGUGAAACUGAAGCCUCAAUUUUCAGCACCUACCACGGAUGGUUGAUUUUCUGCAUUCCCAAUAAGCAAUAUACUUGCAUCCUAGUUCUGCACAUUCAAUAAAAAUAUAUUUACAAGGCUUACUACAUUCAACACAUUCAGGAUAGUAAGGAAAGUUCUUGACAAAGUGAGAGGGUGUGGAUGGUCUCCCUCAUUGUAGGUGCUCCCGAGUUUGAUGAAUGGAUAUUUUCUAAGAACGCAAUCUACAUGAGCAGAAGUGUCACAAGUUUCACAAUGAUAAAACCAAUUCUUUGAAUCCCUUUUUUUCCUCACAAAUGUCACAAUAAUGAUAUUUUGUAUAAUCAUUAAUCUUGUGAUAAGUGAGGUUAAGAGGAUGAUCAUCGCAAUUGUGUCCGAUUCUAGUUGGUCGCAUAACACAAUGAAGGCAUAAACCAAAGUUACAAUCUUUACAACCAUAUGUGUUACUGAGAUCCGUCCCACAACCACUACACUGCUCCUCGAAAUGAUAAUAAUCAUAAUAGAAAAGAAGAGGGUGUUUAUGCCCUGGAAUUUUUAGAUCUUAUUGGAGAGUUGCACACCGAACGCACGUGUGAAUUCCACAUUCAUUACAUUUAUAAGAAAAUCCAUUAGAAAGGUAGCUGCAUUGAUCAGAUUCGAACAUGCAGUCUGAAGUAAGGAUGAAGGGUUUUGAUCCAGAAAAAAUAGAUGCAUAUAGUCUAUACCUUUUUUUCUUGGUAAAAAAAGGUCAUUGCGGUCCCAAUCAGAUAUACCUUUCUUUAUUGGGAUAAUAUAGUUUUUGGCCCUUAAACUUAAUAAUUAAAUUUUCUUUGAUACUUGUAUUUUUUUUACUUUCGUCUUUGAAUUUGAUAACUAAAUUCAUUUUGAUCCUUAAACUUGGUACUGGAGCAUUUUAUGAAUUUUAAUUAUUUAUUAAAUUAUUAUUGGUCCAACAGUUGUACUGAUCGAAUUGAGAAUCGGUGAUCUCGGUUAUUAAAACACUAAAUUUGACACUCUUAAAAUUAAUGUGUAGUUAAAUUUUAUUUUGACCCCCAAAAUGAAAAAAAAAUCAUUUCAGUCCUUUUAUAAAUAAAGAAAUUAUAAAUCAAUAUAUAGUAAAAUUUCUCUUUAGCCCCCUAAAAAUGAAAAAAAUUAUGUUUAAUUGCUUAAAAAUCAUGAAAUUAUAAAUUAAUACAUAAUAAACUUAUUUUUUAUCUAUGAAAAAAUUGUAAUUAAUUUCGCCCCUUGUUAAAAAAAUUUCUAGAUUCGCCCCUGCCAAAGUGAAUGUUUAGGGGUCAAAAAUUAUAUUAUCCCUUCUUUAUCUUUCAUUUUUAUUUUCCAUUUUUUUUUACAAUUUUUGGUAUUUAAUUAAGAGAAAAUUGGCCCUCAUUUUCAUCUCUUAUCUCAAGGUAUUCACGGUUAAAAAUUAAGAGAAUUAAGAGAAUUUUUGAGAGGUUAAAGCUAAAAUUCUUGCAUUAAAAUAAAUAUUAAACUUUUGAAAGGAUCAAAAAUGAAAAACUUUCAUUUAACAAAAACAAUUUAAAAAGAAUUAAAUUGAAUUUUUAAUAUUUUAGAAAGACUAAAAUUAAAUUGUAUCAUUUAAUCAAGGUUCAUAUUCUUCUUAUAAACCAACCCUUUAUUUAUUGAAAUAUAUAUUUGUUUCUCUGAAAAUAUUUCAUAAAAAAUCUUGUGAAACAAAUGGAUUGUAAACAUUUUUUUUAUAUCUAACUAUAUCCAACUUAUAUAAAUAUGGAAGGUAGCACAUAAGGACUAAUUAUUCAUGGAAUCUAAGGAUUUUUAUGAUUUUAGUUAGCAUGCAACAAAUUUAAUAUAUGAAAAUUAAAGAAGAUAUAAGUAAAUCAUAUCAAUUUUAUUCUCAUAAAUUUACAAUUCAAAUCUAAAUACAUUAUAUUGUUUAAACACAUAAUUAAUAAGUAGCAACCAUUAACAACAACCACACACUAUCUUAUUCUGAAAUUGAAGUCGCAAUUUUCAGUAUUUACCACCGAUAUCUGCAUUUCCAAUGAGCAAUAUAGUUACAUCCUAGUUCUGCACAUUCAAGAGAAAGAUCUUCACAGGGCUCACCACAUUUAGCACAUUCAGGAUAGUAAUGAAUCUUCUUGACAAAAGUGAGAGGGUGUUCAUGGUUUCCCUCAUUGUAGGUGCUCCCGAGUCUGAUGAAUGAGACAUAUAAUUAAAGUAACCAUAUAAUUAGACGUGAAUGAGACAUCUUUAUUAUAGGAAUGAUCCACAUUCAUUGUCCUGCAGUACAAACUGAAUCUACAAGCUAAUGAUAGAAACAUAAACCAAAAUAUAUAGUACAUUGUUUGAUUAAAAUUGAAAACAUGGUUCAUAUUUGUCCAUUGCAAUGUUCAGAUGUUCAAUAACAUGCAAAAGAUAUAUAUAUAGUCUAAUGACAGCUUCAAGUUUAUCUAAGCAAAUACACAUAUAUCACCCAAAACUUCCCACAGAAACUCAAAUUUAAGUACUAAUAAGUUCAUAAAACAAGUUAAACGAAAGACUACAUCAAGGGAAAAAGACAAUCAGGACAUGUAACUAUACCGAUACUCAUAUUUAAUCAAACUCACAAAGCGAUAACCGCGUGUCGUUUGUGCUUGAGGAAUGUCUGAAACUCUUUAUAACCACUCCUGUAAUGGUCCAGACUGAAAGUAAGAUGUCUUAUUACCUUUCUUUUCUCUUCAGACACAUCUAAGAUCAUGCUCCUUUGCUUAUCCACUUCCUUCUCAAGGUCCUUUAUCUUCAAUUUCAACUCAUCUUCUAGAUUCUUUGUUAGCUGCAUAUGUUCCUUGCUUAAUUGUUGUAAAUGGUCCUCCAUUUGUCUGAUCUGUAAAUCACGAGAACGAACCUCGGCCACGAGAUUGUUUACUGUUGCAGUAACACAAUCUUUGUCUUUCAUAAGCAUAUCAUAUUUCAAUUUCAUUUUGUCAAGGUUCUUAUUCAAAGCUUCUAUCUGUAUACCUUUCUCAUUAAGUUCUGUCUUCAAUUGAUUGAUCUGACCUUGUAAGUUGGUUUCUUGUACAGCAAGCAAGCUUUCGAUAACUGGUAAUGGCGACACACAAUCAAUGUGAAUAGCCAACUCACAAGGUGAACAACCAUACAAAUAUCCUCUUCCUUGAGUUGCUUGGCAUAUUUUGCAAGCACGCCGUUCACUAUUAAAUUGCAAAACAAGAGGAUGUUUGCGAUGACACGAAUGAUCCAUUUUGAGAGGAAGCUCAGCACACCUCUUAUGCAAUUUAAACCCACAAUCAAGAAAGAAGUAUGUAUACAUUGCUAAUGGUUCCCAGCACACAAAGCACUUACCCAGGUUUCCAUCAUCGUUUUUAGAGGAAAACGAUGGAUCCUCAAGGGCCACAUGCUCAAGCUCUUUCAAAUUUCUUUCAGCAAUAUUAAAUGUAAACAAAGCACAUUUAAUAUGAAAGUCCAAGCCACAAGAGCAAUGGUAAAUGAAUUUCUCACAUGCUUCGUUACAGAAAUCGCAAACGCACCAUGUGUAAGGAGUGUAAGGUGGAUUGUUGAAGUCAACCCCCAUGCAGCAGCCAAGGUGACCAUGCAAGGUGGCCAUGCAGGGAUCGUGCUUUAACAGCAAACCGAAACUGCAUUGUUUCAUUUGGUUACUCAAAUGAAUAUUUUGUAUUUUAGUUUGUUUUGAACUAAGUUGGUAACUGUAUUUUGAUGUAAUUAGGUGCUGAAUGACAAGUUUAGGUAGAAGUUUAUGUUUUCAAUCAAGUUUACCAAGUUACUAGGCAAUUUAGUGGUGUUAGGUAUGUUAUUAGGUGGCAACUUGUUUGUUUUGCUGUUGUUAUCUCAUAUAUGUAUUGGUAUUAUGGCUUGUAAAAAUGUUAAUGAAAAUUCAGCUCAUUUUCAUUCAAUUUCAUCUCUUUCUUUUCUGUUCUCCAUUGCAAAAUUUCUUUCUUCUUCUUCAAUAGUUUAUUCAGCAAGGCUCGACACUUGCUGUGCAAGCAAGCUGAAACCAUCUUGCUAUUACCUCUUGCACCAACAAUUGGUAUCUAGAGCCGUUGUCUUAGUGGACCUGUUGCUUCAAACCAAGGAACCUGAUGGCUUCUUCAGGAUUUUCACCAGCAACCCCACCAGUCUUCAAUGGAGAAAGCUUUCACAUAUGGCUGGUAAAGAUGAAGACUUACCUGCAGGCCUUUGAUCUGUGGAAAGUUGUUAACACAGAUGCUGAGCCAGCACCACUGAGGGCUAAUCCCACAGUAGCUCAGAUCAGACAACAUGCUGAUGAGAGGACCAAAAGGCACAAAGCCAUGUCCUGCAUUCAGAACUGUGUAUCAGAUGUCAUCUUUACCAAAAUUAUGGCCUGUGAGACUCCAAAACAGGCCUGGGACAAGCUUAAGGAGGAGUUUCAAGGCACUGAGAGGACAAGGCAACAACAGCUGUUGAAUUUGAGAAGGGAUUUCGAGAAUCUGAAGAUGAAGGAAGAAGAAACAGUGAAGCAGUAUUCAGAUAGAAUUAUGGCAGUGGUUAACAGUAUAAGGCUCCUAGGUGAGCACUUUGAUGAGGCAAGAAUUGUGGAGAAAGUCCUCUCCACUUUGCCUGAGAAAUAUGAAGCAAAGAUAUCCUCCCUAGAGGACUCAAGAGACCUUGCUAGCAUCUCUUUGACUGAGUUAAUCAACACCUUCUAUGCUCAGGAACAAAAGAGAGCUAGCAGAGCUGAAGAUCACCAAGAAGGUGCAUUUCAAGCCAAGACCAGAGAAGCCUCGAGCACCAAUGCUCAAAGUGGCAAAAAGCCUUGGAAAAGCAGGCCUAAGCCUGAUGCUGCAAGGAGCAAUGACCAGCCCUGCAGAUAUUGCAAGAAGCUAGGCCAUCCAGAAGACAGAUGUUAGUUCAGGCCAGAAGCAGUAUGCCAGCACUGCAAGAAGAAGGGCCAUGUUGAAAGGGUUUGCAAAAAUAGAACCAAGCCAAGGCAGAGCCAAUUUCAACAACCAAAGGUUGAAGCUCGAGUAGCUGAGGACAGUAGUGACCAAGAGGAGCAGGUCUUUGCUGUUUCUUGCUUAACUGCUGAGAAGAAAUCUUCAAAAGGUUGGCUAUUGGACAGUGGUUGCGCUAACCACAUGUCACCAGAUGCCUCCUUGUUUAAAACCUUGGAUAGAGUUGCAAAACCAAGGUCAAGGUUGGAAAUGGCCAGUUUAUAAAGGCUGAAGGAAGAGGAGAGGUGCUGAUAUGUACUCCUACAGGUAACAAGGUCAUACCAAAUGUGCUUUUGGUGCCUGAGAUUGACAGAAACCUUCUCAGCAUAGCCCAAUUGCUUGAGAAAGGUUAUUCUGUUGUAUUCAAGGAUAAACAGUGCCACAUUGCAGAUCUAAGUGGAUCAAGCCUUAUGACAGUCACAAUAACUGAUAAAUGCUUUGAGGUUCAUUGGUCAAAUGACUCAAAGUCAGCAUAUACAGCCUCUAUAGAUGACUCCAAACUCUGGCAUAGAAGGCUUGGACAUGCCAACUUCAGGUCAAUGGGUCGAAUGGCCAGUGAGGGCUUGGCUGAGAACUUCACCAACUCAGUGGAGUAUGAUGAUGUGUGUGAGGUCUGCCAGAUGGGGAAACAGGCAAGAUUGCCAUUUUCUACAAAUGCAGCAUGGAGAGCUACUGAAAGACUGCAGCUGGUGCACUCUGAUGUAUGUGGCCCGAUGAGGACUGAAUCACUCAGCAAAAACAGGUAUUUCAUCCUCUUCAUUGAUGAUUUUACAAGGUUUUGCUGGAUUUUCUUCUUAAAACAUAAGUCUGAGGUAGCUCAAGUGUUUGUGAAGUUUAAAACUGCUGUAGAAACAGAAACAGGUUGCAAGCUGAAAUCGAUAAGGUCAGACAAUGGCACUGAGUACACUUCAGCUCAGUUUCAAGCCAUUUGCAAGGAUGCUGGCAUCAAACACCAGCUUACAAAUGUCUACACACCUCAGCAGAAUGGGGUAUCUGAAAGAAAGAACAGAAGUCUGAUGGACAUGGCUAGGUGCCUGUUGUUUGAGAAGAAACUGCCCAAAGCCAUGUGGGCUGAGGCAAUGAACACUGCUGUUUACCUACAGAACAGACUUCCAACCAAAGCUCUUACUCACAAGACACCUUUUGAGGCAUGGUUUGGUUUCAAACCUUCAUUGGCUCAUCUAAAGGUGUUUGGUUGCUUGUGUUAUACACAGAUACCAACAGUAAAGAGGGAUAAGCUAUCAAAGAGAGCUCAGGCUGGCAUCCUAGUUGGCUAUAGCUUAGUCAAAAAAGGAUAUCGGAUCCUGGACCCCUUGACAAGUAAAAUUCAAGUGAGUAGGGAUGUGAUUUUUGAUGAAAAGGCAUGCUGGAAUUGGGAUAAGAAUUCACCAGAAGCUGAGGUAAAUGAAAUGGUGCCUAACCAAGCUGAACUUGAGCAACUUUGUCCUGAAGUGGACUUUGAUAAUGUGCCUGUAAGAGGCACAAGGCUCUUGGAUGAAAUUUAUGAAAGAGCACCGGUUGCCAAAGUUGAACCUACCUGUUUUGAAGAAGCUGAGACAGAUGAAGGUUGGAAGCAAGCAAUGGCAAAAGAGAUCAGCAUGAUUGAGAAGAAUCAGACUUGGGAACUGGUUGAAAAACCUGUCAACAGAAGGAUCAUUGGAGUAAAAUGGGUUUAUCGAGUCAAGCACAAUGCAGAUGGAAGCUUAAACAAACUGAAAGCUAGACUGGUUGUAAAAGGCUUCAGUCAAAAAUAUGGUUUGGACUACAUGGAAACAUUUGCUCCAGUAGCCAGACUUGAUACAAUCAGAUUACUUGUGGCUCUUGCUGCUCAAAACCAGUGGUCAAUUCACCAGAUGGAUGUAAAGUCUACAUUUCUCAAUGGCUUUCUGGAAGAGGAGAUAUAUAUUGAACAACCUCCAGGUUUUGUAAUGCCUAGUAGAGAACACUUGGUAUACAGGCUCAAAAAGGCCUUGUAUGGCCUAAAACAGGCUCAUAGAGCCUGGUAUGCUCGAAUUGAUUCAUACCUGAUCAGCUUAGGAUUCGAAAGAAGUUCUAGUGAACCAACUCUUUAUGUUAAGAAGAAUCAAGCAGAAACACAGCUUAUUGUGUCUCUUUAUGUGGAUGAUCUCCUUGUGACAGGAGGAGACAAGACUAUGUUAGAAGAUCUCAAAGGAAAAAUGAAGGAGAUGUUCGAGAUGUCAGAUUUGGGGUUGAUGACUUAUUUCCUUGGAAUGGAGAUACAACAAGCUGAUCAAGGGAUCUUUUUGGGACAAAAGGCAUUUGCUUUGAAAGUUUUAUCCAAGUUUUCAAUGCAAAAUUGCAAGCCAACAUGCACACCUAUGGCAGUUGGCAUAAAACUGUUGAGCCAAGAAGAACAUGAGCCUGUCAAUGAAUCAUUUUAUAGGAGCCUUGUUGGUUGUUUGCUGUAUUUAACAGCAACAAGACCUGACAUUCUGUUUGCUGUGAGCAUGCUCUCAAGGUUCAUGCACUGCUGUAACCAGCAACAUUACAAGGCUGGGAAAAGGGUGCUAAGAUACAUCAAAGGUACCUUAAACCAUGGAAUACAGUUUAGAAGGGCUGAAGAGUUGAAACUGAUUGGCUACACUGAUAGCGAUUGGGCUGGUUCAAAGGAUGACAUGAAGAGCACUUCUGGCUAUGCUUUUACACUUGGCUUAGCUAUGAUAUGUUGGAGCUCAAUAAAACAAACAAUGGUGGCUUAAUCGACAGCAGAAGCAGAGUAUGUAGCAGCUGCCAAUGCUGUUAAUCAAGCUAUGUGGCUGAGAAAAAUUUUGAGCGAUUUGAAUCUACAGCAGAAUGAAGCAACUGUGAUACAUUGUGACAACAAGUCAGCAGUUGCUAUUGCUAAAAAUCAUGUCUUCCAUGGCAGGACAAAACAUUUCAACAUUAAACUCCAUGUGAUAAGAGAAAUGGAACAAGCUCGAGAGAUCGAGCUAAUUCAUUGCAGCUUAGAAGGUCAGAUCGCCGAUAUCUUCACAAAAUCACUUGGUACAUCGAGAUUUCUAAACCUAAGGAAGCAACUAGGAGUCUGCUGCAUAGAAGCUGAGGAGGAGUGUUGAAGUCAACUCCCAUGCAGCAGCCAAGGUGACCAUGCAAGGUGGCCAUGCAGGGAUCGUGCUUUAACAGCAAACCGAAACUGCAUUGUUUCAUUUGGUUACUCAAAUGAACAUUUUGUAUUUUAGUUUGUUUUGAACUAAGUUGGUAACUGUAUUUUGAUGUAAUUAGGUGCUGAAUGACAAGUUUAGGUAGAAGUUUAUGUUUUCAAUCAAGUUUACCAAGUUACUAGGCAAUUUAGUGGUGUUAGGUAUGUUAUUAGGUGGCAACUUGUUUGUUUUGCUGUUGUUAUCUCAUAUAUGUAUUGGUAUUAUGGCUUGUAAAAAUGUUAAUGAAAAUUCAGCUCAUUUUCAUUCAAUUUCAUCUCUUUCUUUUCUGUUCUCCAUUGCAAAAUUUCUUUCUUCUUCUUCAAUAGUUUAUUCAGCAAGGCUCGACACUUGCUGUGCAAGCAAGCUGAAACCAUCUUGCUAUUACCUCUUGCACCAACAUGGAUUCUGCAGAAGCAGGAGAGGAUGGUGGCGAUGAAAAGGAUGAUUAAGCUCCAAAGGUGCCUCGGCACAUGUCUUGUGGAGGUAAAACCCACAGCACUCCACACAGCUAAAACAUGGAGCUGACACCUUCUCCCCACACCUUGAGCAAUCAACAACUCCAUUGCCAUUGCCAAGCAACUGCUCUUCAUUUAACAUCAACAGUGGAUGUUGAUGCUCAUAGUUCUUUAGCUCUUCCAUUUCUCCUUCCUCUCCGUCUCUUUCGAUGUGGUAGAGAAAGAAAAAUUGAAAUUGAAUAACUCAAAGAAAGCAGAAAAUUAGAAGGGAGAGGUUCCAAAUGUUUAUUUGUAGGAAUCUCUUUGAACUUGCUAUGGUACUUUGCUUCAACAGUGGGUUGCCUAUACCUAUAUAUGUUUGAUCUUCUUUAUAAUUACUAUGAAUGGGAUGCAAUGGGUUUGAGUGUACUCUAAGUAAAUUAUCAAUUUUUUUCCUUUAUUCUUUGCUUUGUGGAUUAACUAAUUUUGUGGAUUAGAUAACGAAUAUUCUGAUAUUGUUUGUGUGCCAAAAAAAACAAGAUGAUAUGAUGAAAGGUAUUUUUACAGGUUACGAAUUUUUCAACUGAGAAUGAUAUCAAACAAUCAAAUUAUUCUAAAAAAAUUGAAUUAAAUCAUUUAUCUAAUCGAAAAUUAAAAACCUAUUUAAUUUAUUCUGGUGAUUAGAAUAAAAAAAAUUUGAACAAAGCUAGAUAGAUUAAUUAUACAAUUACCGAGCCACCAAUAGGCUCUCUUAGGACAAUGUGUUACAGAAAUUACUCUAACUCCCUUGGUAUUUGCUCAACCACUUCAAUCCCAAUGGGGUCAUCGUUCAUUAAACUAACCAUAUAAUUAGAUGUGAAUGAGACAUCUUUAUUAUAGGAAUGAUCCACAUUCACUGUCCUGUAGUACAAACUGAAUCUACAAGCUAACGAUAGAAACAUAAACCAAAAUAUAUAGUACAUUGUUUGAUUAAAAUUGAAAACAUGGUUCAUAUUUGUCCAUUGCAAUGUUCAGAUGUUCAAUAACAUGCAAAAGAGAUAUAUAGUCUAAUGACAGCUUCAAGUUUAUCUAAGCAAAUACACAUAUAUCAACCAAAACUUCCCACAGAAACUCAAAUUUAAGUACUAAUAAGUUCAUAAAACAAGUUAAACGAAAGAUUACAUCAAGGGAAAAAGACAAUCCAGCCAAGUAACUAUACCGAUACUCAUAUUUAAUCGAACUCAUAAAGCGAUAACCGCUUGUCGUUUGUGCUUGAGGAAUGUCUGAAGCUCUUUAUAACCACUCCUGUAAUGGUCCAGACUGAAUGUAAGCUGUCUUAUUACCUCUCUUUUCUCUUCUGACACAUCUAAGAUCAUGUUCCUUUGCUUAUCCACUUCCUUCUCAAGGUCCUUUAUCUUCAAUUUCAACUCAUCUUCUAGAUUCUUUGUUAGCUGCAUAUGUUCCUUGCUUAAUUGUUGUAAAUAGUCCUCCAUUUGUCUGAUCUGUAAAUCACGAGAACGAACCUCGGCUACGAGAUUGUUUACUGUUGCAGUAACACAAUCUACGAGAUUAAUUCUAACAUUUUUGUGAGGCUAAACCAUAAUUUUACCAUAUAUUAACUUAAUAUUUUAUAAAAUUUAGGAGAUUAAAGCAACAAUUAGAAAGAUAUAAAUCCCAACGUGUUUAAGCACAUAUUUUUUCUUUAAUUUAAAAUUAUGAAAAAAUUAUAAAUAAAAGUUAAUUAUAUUAUACUCUAAAGUCUAUUCUUUGUCAUAAAGUAUUCAACUUUUGCAGCCGACAAUAUUAAGAAAAAAAAUUUGUUCCUCCAACAAUCACUUUCUUUUAUAAUUAAAAUUUGAAUUUUGAUUUUCAAAGCCCUUAAUAUUUCAAACAAGUUGGUGGAAAUUUCCAAAUCGUCCCUUUAUUAUAAAGAUUUGUUUGAUUUAGUCUCUAUAUUAUUAAAUGAAUUGAUUUAGUCCAUGUACUAUUAAAAAGUAUCAAAUAAGGGAAAAUUGGAAAAUACUUAAAUAUUUACUAUAUAAAAAAUGUCAUUUAUUGUUUCGUAUUUUUAAAUUUUUUACGGUUCUGUAAAUGAAAUCUUGUGUUUUGAAAAAAAAAUAUUUUCAAGACAUUUUUUAUAUUGUUAACUUUGUUACAAAUUAGACAGACUUAAAUUUUUUUGAUAGUAUAGAGACUAAAUUUAUUUAUUUAAUAAUAGAAAUUUUAAUUUGGUCCAGUCCCUAUAAUACAAGGAACUCACGGGACAAACACAAUAAAUUUGAUGCUAACCUAUGAAGUUUUGAAAAUUAAUGUAUGCAAUUAUAAAAUGAUACAUGCGUAGUUGACUAUGUCAAAAUGGGAAGUAAAUGGGAUAAAUCUCAAAAUUAUACAUACAUGAACUUUAUUUUGGUGCAAUUAUAGACGUGAAACGCUAUUGUGAUUCAAAUGUAUAUUUGAAACUUUAAUUUUGAUUUAAUCAUACACAUUUAAAGAAAUAAAGUCAAGUUUUAUUUUUAUAUUGUAUAAAAAUAAUAUUUAUGUAUGCAAUAUAUAAACAUAAAAUGAUGUUAUAUCAAUAAUCAUGUUAAUAAUUUAAAAGAAUAGGAUCAAAUUAAAAUUUCAUGUAUAUAAUUGCACAUUAAAUCAUAGUUCGUAUAUAAUUUUGAAAUUUAUCCAUAAAUAAAUUAGUUAAAUUUUUAAUUGGAUUUAACCUCUCUUUUGCACAUAUUAUAAUUUAUUCAUGGAGCUUCACAAAAAAGCAUAAUCGUAAUCAAAAUCAAGAUUAUGGAGUUUAAAAUGAUAAAGUUUUUUGAAAAUCGUAAUAUUUUAGAUUUAAAUUUCAUCAUUAGUAGGUUUGAUGUUUUUAGUCUAUUAGUUCAUGAUACUAACUUGAUUAGAAAUUUUCAGUUGGAAUAAUUUGUCCACUUCAAUUGUACAAACUAUUAAAAAAACCCAUAAAUAUAUAAAUAUAUAUAUAUAUAUUCAACCAUAAAUUUAUAUCGAUUCAUAGAUCAAUCGAUCCAACUUCUUAUUUCGAACUGAUACCUCAAUUAGAAGUGUCCAUGAGACUUGCAAUAUACAUGGGGCAUCUGCACAGCUCACUCCCGAUCAAGCAAGCAUCGAAUUCUUCGAAACCGUGCAGCAUUAGUAAGGAGACAUUUUUUCAAAGUGAGGCAUAAGAAAAUUCGGAUUCUUUGUAGUCCCUCAAAUCUCCGUGCAAGGAACCAUACAGGAUCAUGUUGGUUCCAAGAGAUCUUCCUUAGUUCCUUAUAUGCACUCUUAACAGUGAAGUCACCAUCAAAUGAUUGCGAAGUAGGUCCCACUUCCAUGAGUUGUCAUUCAUCAUAUAGUGCGCACCUUCAUGAAGCAGGGAAAGCGCUAUCGAGGGCGGAACUUGAAGGUGUUCUGGUUUUUGUUGAACCUUUUUUUGUUUCAUGUCAAUGGGACCUUAUCCAAUUGGCAAUGGUGGGAAAACAAAGUUUGCCAUUUUGAUCCAUUUGUAAAGGCAAGUGACUUGGCAGUGGGGGUUUCACAGUUGAGUGGCAAGGGCUAUGGAGGCGGAAGCUUCUUUUUGUCUGUUUUUUUUUAGUUUUAUGUAAUUUCGUUGAUAGGAUAGAAUGGUUAAAGUGAUAUGUUCAGGGUGAGAAUCCAACUUGAGUAACUGUUCACCUGCACUGAAUAACUUGUAUGAUGAAUGACGAAUGAUAUAAAUGAGGUGGGGAAGAAUUUUAUUUAUAGUAAAGCUCUAUAGAUCCAAGAUUGAAUUACAUUAUGAUUCGAAUUUAAUCUUAUUUAUGACAUUGAUCCCUAAAGAAUUUAAAUUUUCUAUUAUCUUAUCCUUGAGAUUAUAAAACUACACUAGUAAAAUUCAAAUUACCCAAGCAUCUACAACUGCACCAUGUUUCAAGUAGGAUGGGCAUUCAGAAUGUUUCAAAAAUAGGAUCAAUCUCGAUAGCUUAAGCAAGCCUAAUUUAAUCAAAUGAUCUCUUUAAGUUAUUAUGUGCACAUUGAAUUUUAUUAUAAUAAAACAUAAAUUAAGUCAAUUAUAUUUUUAUAAUAAAAAUAGAUAGUGGAGAAGUGAACAAAGAAAGAAGAAUAAAAACAAAACAUUAUUUCUUCUUUAUGGUCUUGCAUGCCGAAAUGGUGAGGGAAGAAAAGGGAUUUUCGUCUAUUGUUGUUUAAGUUUGGAAGCUCAAUUUGGUUGGUAUGUUUUGUUCUUUUUUAUUAAAUUUUAUAUUUUUGGAAUCUUAAAAUCAUGUAGUAGUUUAUUCAUGUUGAAAAUUUGAGAAUUAAUGAUACUUGUGAAAAUUGUCAUCGUUGAGAUUCAAUUUCUUAGUGUUAUUUUGUUGGGUUGAAGUUAUUGAUGUAUGUAUGUUUAGUAUGGUAGAUAUUGUAUAUGGUUGAUAUUUUAAGUUGUAUGGAAUUUGGCUCUUUUGAAAGUAAAUGAUUCAGUUCAAUUUGUUGACUUGAAAUAUGUAGGAUAUGGCAUUUGAAAUUUAUGAUUCCUAAUUGUGGAGCAAGAUAAAUGUAUGUAUGACUUGAUCAAGGUUGAAUGUCUUUGUAUGUGAGUGUUUGAAAUGUGGUGCCAACGAGGGCUAUAUUGGUUAGGCUCUUAGAUUGUAUGGAAUUGACAUGUUUUGAGAUGUAUUUGAUGACAUUUAUAGUUUGGUUAUAGGCUUGGUUCGGUAGCCAAGAUAGGUGUGAAAAUUGCCUUGUUUUGGAAGCAAAAAUUGGUGUACAUUGCCAGGGACACUGGCUGUACACGGCCUACCCACAUGGUCGUGUGUCUUAAUGAUUUUAGGUGCAGGUCAUACACGGUCUAAGACACAGCUAGUGACAUGGUCGUGUGACCCAAUAUCAAAUGCACACAUGGGCAGGCGCACGGCCGUGUGACCUUAAUUCAAAUAUACACACGGGCGGACACACGGUCGUGUGUCUCGACUUCAAAUGUCCACACAGUCUGGGCUGUGACACAUGGCCGUGUGUCCCUUAUUUUCAAAAUUUUCAUCUUUUUCCUAACUUUUCUGUUUUGUUUCAAAUUGGCCCCAGAAUGUUUCCAAUUUAUUUUUAGGACUCCGUAAACUCAGUUCAAGGCCCAUAAGUGUAUGUUUAUUGUGAAUUGAUUGUGAAUUGAUUAAUUGUAAUUAUAAUGAAUAAUUGUUUUUAAGUAGUGUUAAAUGUUUGAAAUGUUAUCGUACUAUUCCGUGACUCCAAUCCGGUGACAGACACUGGUUUCUUAAGUUUAAAUUGUCUUUUAUAAAUUUUAGAUAAAUGCAUGAAAAAUACAAAAGCACUCUAUAGUAAUAUUUAUUAAUCAUUAAAACUUGAUUUUUGAAUACUUUUCUUGAUCGAGUUAGUGUUGAGCUAAGUCAUGAUACUAUCUAAAUUCAUUAUGCCAAUUCAACCAUACACUUAAAUAAUAGUAUAAAUGUUAUUGUUUAUGAAAAGAUCAAAAUAUCAAUGUUGAAUCCCAAAAUGAAAUCAACGGUUAAGAUUUGAAAUAUAAGUAGAGAUGGUAAUAGAGUGGGGCAGAAUGGUUUUUUGUCCACCUGACUUGAUACAUCUCUAACAUAAUCUGACUUUGAUCCAACUCAAAAUUAAAUAUUAAUUUACUUAUCUUGAACCUAACUCGAAAAAUCAAAGUUAUACCCAAUUUCGAACGAUAUACCACUACUUUUAAUUGUUUUUAUAUAUUUUUAUUAAAAUAGAGUAAAAGUUUUAAAGUUUUUAAUGAUAACAUUACUUUUUUUUGUAGUUAUAGUUAUGCUAGGGAAAAUAAUUUUAUAAAUUGUUAUUAUCAUAUAUUAUAAUCUAAUAUUAUAUAUAAAUGGUUAUUUUGGUAAUUACGGGGCAAAUUUUUCUAAAUCGGAGAAAGAAUUGUAUGAAAUUGUGAUUCUACCUCAUCUGUAUCCUUUUCUAAUACGAAAAUGACAAAUCAGAAUUUAAGAUCUAAUCCAUGUACUUUAAAAGUUAAAAUUUCAAUUAUCCUACUUCAACAAUUUAAAAAUUCUAGUUCAAUUAUUAUUAUUUGUAAUUUUUUUUGUCAAAAAAAAAUUAAACUUAACAUGUUUAUUUUUUUUAUCAAUCAUAUGAAAUAUUAUAUGAUGGCAAUCUAAUUAACAUGCCAAAUUGGAAAAUUUUGAUGGAAAUUAUUAACAAUAUUAAAGAUUGGAAUGAAAUUUUUAAAUCAGAAAAGUAAAAGAACCAAAUCUCAAAUAUUAUCUAAGUCAAAGGACUAACAACAUAUUUUCACAAAAGAAAUUGAUAGACUAAUUUAGGUUUUAGACUAAGCAAAUUUUACAUAUCCAACUAUAUUCAACUUGUAUAAAUAUGGAAGCUAGCAUAUAAGGAUAAUAAUUUUUCAUGGAAUCUAAGGACAAAAAAAAAUUAACAUUCUAGCAUGUAAGAAAAAGAAAUAAGCAAAUCAUAUAAAUUUUAUUACCAUAUAUUUACGGUUCAAACCUCACCAUUUUCAACCUAAAAACAUUACAUUGUUUAAACACACAAUUAAAAAGCUAAAUAAAAGUAGCAAUCAUUAACAACAACACACUGUUCUUUUGUGAAACUGAAGCAACAAUUGUCAGCAUUUAUCACAGCAUCGCUGAUUUUCUACAUUUCCAAUGAGCAAUAUAGUUGCAUCCUGGUUCUGCACAUUCAAGAGAAAGAUCUUCACAACGCUCACCACAUUCAAUACAUUCAGGGUAGUAAGGAAAUUUCUUGACAAAAGUGAGAGGGUGUGGAUGUUCUCCUUCAUUGUAGAUGCUCCCGAGUUUGAUCAAUGGAUAUUCUCCAAGAACGCAAUCCACGUGAGCAGAAGUGUCACAAGUUUCACAAUAGUAAAACCAGUUCUUUGGAUCCCUUUCUUUCUCACAAAUGUCACAAUAAUGAUAUUUUGCAUAAUCAUUAAUCUUGUCAUAAGUGAGUGCAAGAAGAUGUUUAUCGCAUUUGUGUCUAACUCUAAUUGGUCGCAGAACACACCAUGGGCAUAAAUGAAUAUUACAAUCCUUACAACGAAAAGGGCAAACGACAUCCUUCCCACAAGCACUACACUGCCCCUGAUAAUUAUAAUAGAGAAGAAGAGGGUGUUUAUGCCAUGGAAUUUUUACAACAUCUUGGAGACUUAGAGCAAAACAUCGAAGGCAUAUCGGACUUCCACAUUCAUUACAUUUAUAAGAAAAUCCAUUAGAAAGGUACAUGCAUAGACCACAUUUGAACAUGCAGGCUGAAGUAAGGAUUAAGGGUUUUAAUCCAGAAUAAAAUUCCGUUUCUCCACAAGCAUGUUUCGAAAAAAGCUUCAUCUUAGGCAAUUCAGCACAAGAUUUAUGAAGAAAGAAAUCACAUCGCGAGCAAUGGUAGAACUUAGCGGAGAUCAAUAACAAGCACCCAUCACAACAUUUAUCACCAUGCUCUCUGAUGUUGUCACUUAACAUCAAGUAGUGCAUAUGCUCGCAAUGUUCUAUGAGUGUGGCUUCUCCAGCAUCAUUCGUCUCAAGAACCUCAGUGAUGGAGUUAACAGGUAUAUCAAGAGACUUGUCAGCUUCAUUUUCCUGUGAUACUAUGCAAUACAACUGCUCUUCUUUCAAUGCACAAUCCACAUGUAAUAUAACACUGCAAUCUGCACAGAAGUAACUACCGUGCUCUGUAUGGACAACUUCAUGGCACCAUAUGCAAUUCAAACUUUCAAAAUAUUCCUUGCGAAUGAAAUACGUGUGAAAAACACGAUGAACAUGGAACGCGUGUUCGAUAAUGCGUGGCAAUGAAAUGCAUUUUUUAUGUACCAUAAUACUGCAUGUACCACAUGUAUAGGCAACAUGAUGUCCUUCAGUGCCACAAGCAUCACAAAUGAAUGGAAUUUGUCUCCAAAACAAGGUGAAUGGGUGUUGAUGACUUUUAUCUUUGAUAACUGGUAAUGGCGACGCACAUUCAAUGUGAAUAGCCAACUCACAAGGUGAACAACCAUACACAAAUCCUCUUUGUUGAGUUACUUGGCACACUUUGCAAGCAAGCCGUUCACUAUUAAAUUGCAAAACAAGAGGAUGUUUGCGAUGGCACAAAAGAUCCAUUUUGAGAGGAAGCUCAGCACACCUCUUAUGCAAAUUAAACCCACAAUCAAGAGAGAAGUAUGUAUACAUUGCUAAUGGUUCCCAACACCCAAAGCACUCACCCAGGUUUCCACCAUCGUUUUUAGAGGAAAACGAUGGAUCCUCAAGGGCAACAUGCUCAAGCUCUUUCAAAUUACUUUCAGCAAUGUUAAAUGUUAACAAAGCACAUUUAAUAUGAAAGUACAAGCCACAAGAGCAAUGGUAAAUGAAUUUCUCACAUGUUUCAUCACAUAAAUCACAAACGCACCUUGUGUAAGAAGAUGGUGGAUUCUGCAAAAGCACGAGAGGAUGGUGGCGAUGAAAAGGAUGAUUAAGCUCUAAAGGUGCCUCGGCACAUGUCUUGUGGAGGUAAAACCCACAGCACUCCACGCAGCUAAAACAUGGAGCUGACACCUUCUCCCCACACCUUGAGCAAUCAACAACUCCAUUGCCAUUGCCAAGCAACUGCUCUUCAUUUAACAUUAUUGGAAAUUGGCCAACCAUGCUGCUGUUACAUUUUGUGGUUGAAGUGCAUGCAGCUUGAUGACAUGCUGCAGCACAUAUGCUUGCUGUAACAGCAAGGUUUCUGAUGAAGUUGGUACAGCAUACAGCAAACUCAACAGCAUGCAGGCCAUCAAGACCAAGUCAUGCAGGAGCUGCUGGAACGAGCUGAACUAUUCCUAUUUUGUUCAACUUGUAAUCUUAAGUUAAUGUAAUGUACUUUAGUUCAUUUAGAACUAUGUUAGGUUUAUGAUUGAUGUAUUUUGAUGACAAUUAAGCUGUUAAGUCAGCUUUGUUUAAGUGUGCAAGCUUAGUUUUUCAAGUUUCAAUGUAUUAGUGGUAGUAGGUGAUGAUUAGGUAUCAUUAUGCAGAUUUUGACAAGCAAAUUGCUUGGUUUUAUGUAUUGGCAUUAUGCCAUUGUUCAACUAAUGAAUAGAAUCAGUUUUUGUUCAUCAUUUUUCCUCUCCAUUCUCUUAGCUUUUUCUUUCUUUCUUCUGGCUUGAAUUUCUCUUGUUUGCUCAGCAAGUCUCGAGACUUGGUUGACAAGAUAUUGCUGAGGCUGCUUGAUUCUGUUAUUGCACCAACAAUUGGUAUCUAGAGCCUGUUUCUUAAGGGAUCUGUUACUCAAUUCCAUGGCUUCAUCAAGCUUUUCACCAGCUGCACCUCAAGUCUUCAAUGGAGAAGGCUAUCACAUAUGGGUGGUCAAAAUGAAGACCUACCUGCAGGCUUUCGAUCUGUGGGAGGUGGUCAACUUUGAUGUUGAACCAGAGCCACUUAGAGCUAAUCCAACAGUGGCUCAGAUCAGGCAGCAUGCUGAUGAAAGGACCAAGAGGCACAAAGCUAUGUCUUGCAUCCAAAACUCAGUGUCUGAUGUGAUUUUCACAAGGAUUAUGGCCUGUGAAUCACCAAAACAGGCCUGGGAUAAGUUGCAGGAAGAGUUUCAAGGGACAGAGAGGACAAGGCAGCAACAGUUGUUAAACUUGAGGAGAGAUUUCGAGAAUUUGAAGAUGAAGGAAGAAGAAACUGUCAAGCAAUAUUCUGACAGGAUUAUGGCUGUGGUUAACAGCAUCAGGCUCCUUGGAGAGCAGUUCAAUGAAGCUAGGAUAGUGGAGAAGGUUAUAGCAACUCUGCCUGAGAGGUAUGAGGCAAAAAUCUCAUCUCUCGAGGACUCAAGGGAUCUGUCCACCAUCUCCCUGACAGAGUUGAUCAAUGCUCUAUAUGCUCAAGAGCAGAGGAGAGCAAGCAGACUGGAGGAGCACCAAGAAGGUGCCUUUCAGGCAAGAGCAAAUACUGCCUACAAAGGCAAGAAGGCCUGGAGAGACAAGCCAAAGAAUGAUGCUGCAAGGAGAGAAGGUCAGACUUGCAAGCACUGUAGAAAGGCUGGUCAUUCAGAAGAAAAAUGCUGGUUCAAUCCAGAUGCUGUAUGUCAGCAUUGUAAGAAGAAGGGUCAUGUUGAGAGAGUCUGCAAGAGUAAGACCAAAUCGAGGCAGAAUCAGUUUCAACAGAUGAAAGCUGAGGCUCGAGUAGCAAAGGAGGACAGUGACCAAGAGGAGCAAGUCUUUGCUGUGUCAUGCUCAGCUGCUCAGGAAAGGUCCUCAUCUGGUUGGCUCCUAGACAGUGGAUGCACCAACCACAUGACACCUGAUGCCGCAAUCUUCAAGUCUUUAGACAGAAGCUGCAGAACUAAAGUCAAGAUAGGAAAUGGUCAUUUUAUCCAAGCUGAAGGCAAGGGUGAUGUGCUGAUAUGCACACUUACAGGUACCAAAGUGAUUUCAAAUGUGCUGUUGGUGCCUGAAAUUGACAGAAACCUGCUCAGCAUAGCUCAGUUGCUGGAAAAAGGUUAUUCAGUUGUGUUUAAAGACCACCAGUGCCAAAUCAGUGAUCCAAGUGGAUCCAAACUGAUGGCAGUCCCUAUGGCUGAUAAGAGCUUUGUGGUUGACUGGACAAAAAAGUCAGACAUUGCCUACACAGCCACUUCAGAUGAAUCCAAGCUGUGGCAUCAAAGAUUGGGACAUGCCAACUUCAGAUCGAUGGCUCGAAUGGUCAGAGAGGACCUGGCUGAAAAUUUCAUCAACUCAGUGGACCAUGAUGAUGUAUGUGAUGUAUGUCAGCUAGGAAAGCAGGCCAGACUCCCAUUUCCCUCGAAUCAAGCCUGGAGAGCCUCUGAAAAACUCCAACUGGUGCAUACUGAUGUGUGUGGCCCUAUGAAGACUGAGUCAUUAAGUGGAAACAGGUAUUUCAUACUGUUCAUUGAUGAUUUCUCGAGAUAUUGCUGGAUUUACUUUUUAAAACAGAAAUCAGAAGUGGCCUCAGUGUUUUGGAAGUUCAAGACUGCUUCUGAGACUGAAACAGGCUGCAAGCUGAAGACCAUAAGGUCUGAUAAUGGGACUGAGUACACCUCAGCUCAGUUCCAAGCCUUCUGUGAUAAGGCAGGCAUCAAACAUCAACUUACCAACACAUAUACACCUCAGCAGAAUGGGGUAAGUGAAAGGAAGAAUAGGAGUUUGAUGGAUAUGGCCAGGUGCUUGAUGAUUCAGAAGAAUCUGCCUAAAGCACUAUGGGCAGAAGCAGUUAACACUGCAACAUACAUUCAAAAUAGACUUCCAACCAAGGCUUUGGAUCAAAAGACCCCAUUCGAGGCCUGGUUUAGUUUCAAGCCAUCACUGGCUCAUCUGAAGGUCUUUGGAUGCAUCUGUUAUGCACAUGUACCUGCUGUUAAAAGGGACAAAUUGUCUGAAAGGGCUCGACCUGGUGUUUUGGUGGGGUAUAGCACUGUUAAGAAGGGCUAUAGGAUUUUAGAUCCUUCAACAAACAAAGUGUCAAUAAGCAGGGAUGUGGUAUUUGAUGAGAGGUCAUGUUGGAACUGGGAAAGACAUGAACCUGAAGAAGUUUCUGAAGAACUUGCAGUAGACCAAGCUGAGCCAGACCAAAAUGUCCCUGAAAUGGAUAUAGAUGAUGAACCAGUCAGAGGAACAAGGUCAUUGACUGAGGUUUAUGAAAGGGCUCAUGUAGCCAUAACUGAGCCAAGCAACUUUGAAGAGGCUGAGGCUCAACAAGGGUGGAAGCAGGCAAUGGCUGAGGAGAUCAGCAUGAUUGAGAAGAACCAGACCUGGAAAUUGGUUGAAAGGCCAGUCAAAAGGAAGGUGAUUGGGGUGAAAUGGGUGUACAAAGCCAAGCAGAAUGCUGAUGGUACCUUGAACAAGUUAAAAGCAAGGCUAGUGGUCAAGGGGUUCAGUCAAAGGUAUGGCUUGGACUAUUUGGAGACCUUUGCACCAGUGGCCAGGCUCGACACCAUCAGACUGCUGAUUGCCUUAGCUGCACAGCUCGAAUGGAAGAUUCAUCAACUUGAUGUGAAAUCAGCCUUUCUGAAUGGUUUCUUAGAUGAAGACAUCUAUGUUGAACAACCACAAGGGUUUGAAAUAGCUGGCAGAGAGCAUAUGGUCUACAAAUUGAAGAAGGCCCUAUAUGGCUUAAAACAGGCUCCAAGGGCCUGGUACAGCAGAAUCGAUGGCUACUUGACUGAUCUGGGAUUCAAUCGAAGCAAGAGUGAGCCAACACUAUAUGUCAAGAAGCAAGGGACACAAACACAACUCAUUGUGUCCCUAUAUGUUGAUGACCUGCUGGUGACAGGAGGAGAUCAAGCAGUGCUGGUUAAUUUCAAGACCAAGAUGCAAGAAGUGUUUGAAAUGUCUGAUCUUGGGGAGAUGUCCUAUUUUCUUGGAAUGGAGGUGACUCAAGCACAGAAUGGGAUAUUUUUAAGUCAGAAGAGCUUUGCCACAAAGAUUCUGACCAAGUUCUCCAUGCAAAACAGCAAACCAACUAAAACACCUGUUGCUGUUGGAGAAAAACUAUCGAGCCAAGGAGAUUUUGAGAAGGUAUGUGAAACUACCUACAGGAGUCUAGUUGGUUGUUUGCUAUACUUGACUGCCACUAGACCAGACAUAAUGUAUGCUGUAGGAUUGCUCUCAAGGUUCUUGCAUUGUUGCAAUGAGAAGCAUUUCCAGGCUGCCAAGAGAGUGCUCAGAUAUGUCAAAGGCACUUUGGACUAUGGCUUAAGGUACAGCAGGAAAGGAAAUCUAAAUCUAGUUGGGUACACUGAUAGUGACUGGGCUGGAUCAAUAGAUGACAUGAAAAGCACCUCAGGGUAUGCUUUUAACCUUGGUUCAGCCAUGUUCUGCUGGAGCUCUAAGAAGCAAAGUCUGGUGGCACAAUCUACUGCUGAAGCAGAGUAUGUGGCAGCAGCAAGUGCUGUCAACCAAGCCAUUUGGCUUAGGAAAAUCCUGGCUGAUUUGAAUAUGGAUCAAAUGAAAGCAACAGAGAUCUUCUGUGACAAUCAAUCUGCAGUUGCAAUUGCUAAAAAUCCAGUGUUCCAUGGUAGAACAAAACAUUUCAGCAUCAAGUUACAUGUUGUUCGAGAAAUGGAGCAAGCUCAGGAAAUAAAGCUGAUCCACUGUAAUUCAGAGGAUCAACUUGCUGACAUUUUAACCAAAGCUCUUAGUGUCACAAGGUUUGAAUAUCUAAGAAAGAUGCUAGGUGUUUGCUCCAUGCAAACCAAGGAGGAGUGAUGAAGUUGGUACAGCAUGCAGCAAACUCAACAGCAUGCAGGCCAUCAAGACCAAGUCAUGCAGGAGCUGCUGGAACGAGCUGAACUAUUCCUAUUUUGUUCAACUUGUAAUCUUAAGUUAAUGUAAUGUACUUUAGUUCAUUUAGAACUAUGUUAGGUUUAUGAUUGAUGUAUUUUGAUGACAAUUAAGCUAUUAAGUCAGCUUUGUUUAAGUGUGCAAGCUUAGUUUUUCAAGUUUCAAUGUAUUAGUGGUAGUAGGUGAUGAUUAGGUAUCAUUAUGCAGAUUUUGACAAGCAAAUUGCUUGGUUUUAUGUAUUGGCAUUAUGCCAUUGUUCAACUAAUGAAUAGAAUCAGUUUUUGUUCAUCAUUUUUCCUCUCCAUUCUCUUAGCUUUUUCUUUCUUUCUUCUGGCUUGAAUUUCUCUUGUUUGCUCAGCAAGUCUCGAGACUUGGUUGACAAGAUAUUGCUGAGGCUGCUUGAUUCUGUUAUUGCACCAACAGUUUCUCUUUAGUUUCAUUCUAAUUAAUCUAGUUUAAAAUGGACAAGUUGAUGACAACUUGAUGCAUUAGGUGUUGAAUGACUAGUUUAGGUGGCUUGUUUAUGUGUACAAGCAAUGUUUUAAUAGUCCCAAUGCUGAUUAGUGGAGUUAGGUAGUUGAUUAGGUGAUUACUUGUUUGUUUUACUUAUUGACUGAUAUAUGUAAUGGCUUAAUGCCUUGUUGUAAUGCUAAUGAAAGAUAUCAGCUCUUUUUCAUUCAAUCUUCUUCUCUCUUUCUGUUUUUUCACUUGCUAGUUUCAUCUUUCUGUUUUCUGCUUCCGAGCUUGCUUCUUCACCAAGGCUUGAGACUUACUACUCAAGCAAGACUUGAAACAGCUUGUUGCUGCCUCUUGCACCAAUAAUUGGUAUCAUGAGCCUAUGUCUUACGGGACCAUUGAUUUUGCUUCCCCUGCUUGUUAAAAAGAAAGAAGCUGUCAAAGCGCAAGCAAGUCAUUAAGGACUGCUUGUAGAGAAGAUAAUAUCGGCUCAAACUUAUAAGAUCCCCAAACUAGCUUGAAUAAGCUGAAGGAGGAGUUUAAAGGAAAGGUGUGAGCUUUCCAAAUGUGCAAGCUUAGCAAGAUGUCAAAGCUGCAAGCUUAGCAAAGUGCGAGCCUGAUGAAGACACCUGUUGAAGACAAUAUGCAAAGAUGUGAGUCUGUCAAAGGUGUGAGCUCAGCAACAUGUGGAAGCUCAAUGCGUGUUGUAUAGUUGCAAGCCUCUUGAAGACAGUAAGCAAAGUGUGAGCCUGUCGAAUUGCAAGCCAAAAUGGCAGAAUGAAGGCAAGCAACUAUACUCACGAACUGUUUGUGCAAGAAGAAAAUGAAUUGGUCAGCUUGAAUCAAAGCAUCUAAGAGCUGCCAAGUUCAAAAAACUUGAUGAAUGACUGGUAUUUGCAGCAUGGAGUCCAAGGAGGAGUAUUGGAAAUUGGCCAACCAUGCUGCUGUUACAUUUUGUGGUUGAAGUGCAUGCAGCUUGAUGACAUGCUGCAGCACAUAUGCUUGCUGUAACAGCAAGGUUUCUCUUUAGUUUCAUUCUAAUUAAUCUAGUUUAAAAUGGACAAGUUGAUGACAACUUGAUGCAUUAGGUGUUGAAUGACUAGUUUAGGUGGCUUGUUUAUGUGUACAAGCAAUGUUUUAAUAGUCCCAAUGCUGAUUAGUGGGGUUAGUUGACUAUUUGGUGAUGUAUUUGACUAUAAAUGUAUGUUUUUUCUAGUUGAAUGAAUGAGCUGAAUGAGCUAUCAGCCAUUAGCUCCCUUGCUGCACAUUUGUGAGCAAGUAAAAAUGCUUCUUGCACCUUGCUUCAUGUUCUGUGCUCUUGUUCUCUCUUUUGUUGCUGCCUCUUGCACCAACAAACAUCAACAGUGGAUGUUGAUGCCCAUAGUUCUUUAGCUCUUCCAUUUCUCCUUUCUCUCUGUCUCUUUCGAUGUGGUAGAGAAAGAAAAAUUGAAAUUGAAUAACUCAAAGAAAGCAGAAAAUUAGAAGGGAGAGAUUCCAAAUGUUUAUUUGUAGGAGUCUGUUUGAACUUGCUAUGCUACUUUGCUUCAACAGUGGGUUGCCUAUACCUAUAUAUGUUUGAUCUUCUUUAUAAUUUCCAUGAAUGGGAUGCAAUGGGUUUGAGUGUACUCUAAGUAAAUUAUCAUUUUUUUUCCUUUAUUCUUUGCUUUGUGGAUUAGCUAAUUUUGUGGAUUAGAUAAUGAAUAUUCUGAUAUUGUUUGUGUGUAAAAAAAAAUACGAUAUCAUGAUGAAAGGUAAAGGUAUUUUUACAAGUUACGAAUUUUUCAAUUGAGAAUGAUAUCAAACAAUCAAAUUAUUCUAAAAAAAUUGAAUUAAAUCAUUUAUCUAAUCGAAAAUUAAAAACCUAUUUAAUUUAUUCUGGUGAGAAUAAAAAAAUUUGAACAAAGCUAGAUAGAUUAAUUAUACAAUUACCGAGCCACCAAUCGGCUCUCUUAGGAUAAUCUGUUACAGAAAUUACUCUAACUCCCUUGGUAUUUGCUCAACCACUUCAAUCCCAAUGGGGUCAUCGUUCAUUAAAGUAACCAUAUAAGUAGAUGUGAAUGAGACAUCUUUAUUGUAGGAAUGAUCCAUAUUCACUGUCCUGCAGUACAAACUGAAUCUACAAGCUAAUGAUAGAAACAUAAACCAAAAUAUAUAGUACAUUGUUUGAUUAAAAUUGAAAACAUGGUUCAUAUUUGUCCAUUGCAAUAUUCAGAUGUUCAAUGACAUGCAAAAGAUAUAUAUAUAUAUAGUCUAAUGACAGCUUGAAGUUUAUCUAAGCAAAUACACAUAUAUCACCCAAAACUUCCCACAGAAACUCAAAUUUAAGUACUAACAAGUUCAUAAAACAAGUUAAACGAAAGAUUACAUCAAGGGAAAAAGACAAUCAAGACAAGUAAAUAUACUGAUACUCCUAUUUAAUCGAACUCAAAGCGAUAACCGCGUGUCGUUCGUGCUUUAGGAAUGUCUGAAACUCUUUAUAACCACUCCUGUAAUGGUCCAGACUGAAUGUACGCUGUCUUAUUACCUCUCUUUUCUCUUCAGACACAUCUAAGAUCAUGUUCCUUUGCUUAUCCACUUCCUUCUCAAGGUCCUUUUUCUUCAAUUUCAACUCAUCUUCUAGAUUCUUUGUUAGCUGCAUAUGUUCCUUGCUUAAUUGUUGUAAAUGGUCCUCCAUUUGUCUGAUCCGUAAAUCACAAGAACGAACCUCGGCUACGAGAUUGUUUACUGUUGCAGUAACACAAUCUUUGUCUGUCAUAAGCAUAUCAUAUUUCAAUUUCAUUUUGUCAAGGUUCUUAUUCAAAGCUUCUAUGUGUAUACCUUUCUCAUUAAGUUCUGUCUUCAAUUGAU
rnacentral:lncRNA from 1 species